UCACUCUGGCAGCCUGGGGACCAUACAAAUGGCACCCCCUUACGAAGCAAGUUGAGCACCAGCGAAGCCUUUUGUAACCGAACAAACACCUGUUCAAGGGAACUCACAUGCUGUUCCCACGAGUCGGAAUAAAUCACCACAUCAUCUAGAACCGGAACGUCCCGUCCGGUUUGGGAACAAGCAGGCACGG